CCACUUCAGAUCUGGGGAUGCUUGCAGCUCUCUGCGCCCAGCCCAGCUUCUUUCAAAAUGUCUACUGUUCGUGAAAUUCUCUGCAAGCUCAGCUUGGAGGGUGAUCACUCUACACCCACAAGUGCAUAUGGGUCAGUCAAAGCCUACACCAACUUUGAUGCUGAGCGGGACGCUUUGAACAUUGAAACGGCCAUCAAGACCAAAGGUGUGGAUGAGGUCACCAUCGUCAACAUUUUGACCAACUGCAGCAAUGCACAGAGACAGGAUAUGCCUUUGCCUACCAGAGAAGGACCAAAAAGGAACUUGCAUCAGUGCUGAAGUCAGCCUUAUCUGGCCACCUGGAGAUGGUGAUUUUGAGCCUAUUGAAGACACCUGCUCAGUACGAUGCUUCUGAGCUAAAAGCCUCUAUGAAGGGGCUGGGAACUGAUGAGGACUCCCUCAUUGAGAUCAUCUGCUCCAGGACCAACCAGGAGCUACAGGAAAUUAACAGAGUCUACAAGGAAAUGUACAAGACCGAUCUGGAGAAGGACAUUAUUUGCGACACAUCUGGAGACUUCCACAAGCUGAUGGUUGCCCUUGCAAAGGGGAGAAGAGCAGAGGAUGGCUCAGUCAUUGAUUAUGAACUGAUUGACCAAGAUGCCUGGGAUCUCUAUGAUGCUGGAGUGAAGAGGAAAGGAACCGACAUUCCCAAGUGGAUCAACAUCAUGACUGAGCUGAGUGUAUGCCACCUCCAGAAAGUAUCUGGUAAGGUACAAGAGCUACAGUCCUUAUGACAUGUUGGAGAGCAUCAGGAAGAAAGUCAAAGGGGACCUGGAGAAAGCUUUCCUGAACUUGGUCCAGUGUAUCCAGAACAAGCCUCUGUAUUUUGCUGACCAGCUGUAUGACUCCAUGAAGGGCAAGGGGACUCGUGACAAGGUCCUGAUUAGAAUCAUGGACAUGUUGUGGACAUGUUGAAAAUCAGGUCUGAGUUCAAGAGAAAGUAUGGCAAGUCCCUGUACUAUUACAUCCAGCAAGACACUAAGGGCAACUACCAGAAAGCGCUGCUGUACCUGUGUGGUGGAGAUGACUGA